UUUGUUCUUGGUAUGAGCUUUCGUAUGCAUGCACACUUCUUCAGAUACAUGUGCAUGCACACGGAAGCUCAUACCAAGAACAAA